CGCCGACUCGCGCUCCCUGCGUAGGUCCGGAUUCAUGGCGGCAGGCGGCAGCUCCGCGCUCCCAGCACUUCCCGAGGCCGCAAACUCUGCCACAGCUCUCCUUAAAGUGGUGAUAGGACGGAUGCUCUUCUUAAAGAGAUGUUGGAGAACUGGGAGACCCAGACUCUGCUGGGGAACUACAUCUGUGUGAAGUGGAUCUGGCUGCAGCUCCUUUAAGACCAUGUUAGGGAUCUGGAGCAGCAAUUGGAUGAUCCUCAGUUUGUACAGGAGAGUGAGGAUAUAAUUCAUCAGAGUUACAGGUAAGUUGUCACCCCAAAGUUGCAGGAGGUGAGUGACCAUCAGGAGAAAUGGAAACAGGCACUUAGAGCAGGGGAGCCUGUGGCCAUUCCCCUCAAAACCAAGUAUACCGCUUUGGAUACUUUUGUGGGGGAUGACUUCCCGGUAGAAUGCCACAGUGACGGUGAUGCAGAGAGGAAAGAGAGAGGAGAGAGGUAGUGAUAGGGACUCAAUAGUGAGGUAAGAGAUUCUGUGAAUGUGAAUGAGACACCUAGAUAGACAAUAGACAGUAGGUGCAGGAUUAGGCCGUUCGGCCCUUCUAGCCUUCUAGUCAGCCUUCCAGCUAGAUGGUAUGUUGCCUCCCAGGUGCCAGGGUUAGGGACGUCUCAGAUCAUGUCUACAACAUUUUGAAGGGGGGGAAGCAGCCAGAUGCCUUGGUAUAUAUUGGUAUCAAUGACAUGGGAAGGAAAAGCAAUGUCCCGAAAAGAGAAUUUAGAGAAUUUAGAAAGCUGAGAAGCAGGAUCUCCUGGGCAGUAAUUUCUGGAUUGCUGCCUGUACUAAGUGCCAGUGAGGGUAAAAACAGGUUGAUUUGGCAGAUAAAUGCGUGGCUGAGAAGCUGGUGCAGGGGGCAGGGCUUCAGGUUCAUAGAUGAUUGGGAUCUCUUCUGGGGGAGGUAUGACCUGUUCAAAAGUGAUGGGUUGCACCUGAACCUGAGGGGAGCCAAUAUUCUUGUGGGAAGGUUUGUUAGAGCUGUUGGGGCGGGUUUAAACUAACUUGGCGGGGGUGGAAACUGAAGUGAAGGGACUCCGGAUAGGAUGGAUGGUAAAGAAGUAAAGGUAGUGUACUGUCACAUUGUCAGGAAGGGCAGACAGGUGAUCAGUCUUAGUUGCAGCCAACAGGCUGAGUAUCAAAUCAUUAAGGAUGCAGAAUCAGAAAGGACAACAAAUAUGGUACACAAGAUGUUGUAGCUAAAUGUGUGUAGUAUCAAGAAAUAAGGUGAAUGAUCUUGUUGCAAUAUUACAGAUUGCUAGGUAUGAUGUUGUGGACAUCACUGAAUUGUGGCUGAAGGAUUGUUGUAGUUGGGAGCUGGAUGUCCAAGGUUACACGUUAGAUUGGAGGGAUAUGAAGGUAGGCUGAGGGGAUGGUAUGGCUCUACUGGUAAAGAAUGGCAUCAAACAGUAUAAAGAUGUGACAUAGGAUCAGAAAACAUUGAAUCAUUUUGGAUUGAGUUAAGAAACUGCAAGGGUAAAAGGACAUUAAUGACAGUUAUAUACAGGCCUCCCAACAGUGACUGGGAGGUGAACCACAGGUUACAACAGGAAAUAGAAAAGGCGAAUCAAAAGGGCAAUGUCAUGGUAGUCAUGGGAGAUUUUAACAUGCAGGUCGAUUUGGAAAAUCAGGUUGAUAACAGAUCUCAGGAGGGUGAGUUUGUUGAAUACCUAAGAGAUGGGUUUUUAGAGCAGUUUGUCAUUGAGCCUGCUAGGGGAUCAGCUAUACCAGAUUGGCUGUUAUGUAAUGAACCGGAGGCAAUUAGAGAGUUUAAGGUAAAAGAACCCUUAGGAACCAGUGAUCACAAUAUGAUUGUGUUCAACUUAUAAUUUGAAAGGGAGGAAGUAAAGUCUGAUGUAGCAGUAUUUCAGUGGAGUAAGGGAAAUUACAGUGGUAUGAGAGAGGAGUUGGCCAAAGUAAAUUGGAAGGAGCUGCUGGCAGGGAUGUCAGCAGAGCAGCAAUGGCAUACAUUUCUGGGAAAAAUGAGGAAGGUGCAGGACGUGUAUUCCAAAAAUGAAGAAAUACUCAAGUGGUAAAAUAGUACAACUGUGGCUGACAAGGGAAGUCAAAGCAAUUGUAAAAGCAAAAGAAAGGACAAAGAACAAAGCAAAAAUUAGUCGGAAGAUAGAGGAUUGGGAAGUUUUUAAAAACCUACAGAGAGCAACUAAUAAAAUCAUUAGAAGGGAAAAGCUGACAUAUGAAAGCAAGUUAGCAAAUAAUAUCAAAGUGGAUAGCGAAAGUUUUUUCAAGUAUGUUACAAAUAAAAGAGAAAUGAGAGUGGAUAUAGGACCACUAGAAAAUGAGGCAGGACAGCCCUUUUGGCAGCUGAUGGAGUAACAUUAUUUUAGAUUGCAAUACCCUACUUACUUUAUUGUCUCUUACCAGUUUUUCUUUGAAACUUUAUAAUACUUUAAUACUGCUCUGCUAUGGCUGGGAAAAGAACAAAAGCUUUUGCAAAAGAAGGAGAAACAGAAGAUGAAUCCCUAGUCACUUUGGAUUCAAUCAGUGACUUCCUUAAAUGGCAGAAAUUGGAAUUUUCUGAGGAGUUUCAACGACUUAAUGGCAAAUUGGAUACAAUCCAACAAACUUUAACUGAGUAUGACAACCGAAUUCAGGAAAAUACUGCAAAGCUGGUGUCACUUGAAGAGGAUUUUGAAGAUACAAUUAAACUCUUAUCCAAUGAAAAAAUGAUGAAAAGGAUUAUCAGUCCAGAAAAUAGAAGCAGGAGAAAUAACUUGCAAAUUCUGGGUCUUGAAGAAUCAAAUGAAGGCGCUGACCCUACGAAUUUCUUUGCAAACUUUUUGAAACAGUUAUUCCCUGUUUUAGUCACUUCUGAGCCGAUGCUCGAUCAAGCACAUUGCUCACUGACUUCGAAGCUAUUGUCGUCUGCAGUGAGACCCAGUUCGGUCAUUAUAAGUUUUCAUGAAUCUUGUACUAAGGACCUUUUAAUUUGCCAUACCUGUCAACUAGGAAUGAUCGAUUUCCAUGGUUUCAAGGUCAGAUUUGUGGAAGACUAUUUGCCUGAAGUUAUAGAACCAUAGAACAUUACAGUACAGAAGGCCUUUUGGCCUUUCUUGGCUGUGCUGAACCAUUUUUCUGCCUAGUCCCACUGACCUGCACCUGGACCAUAUCUCUCCAUACACCUCUCAUCCAUGUACCUGUCCAAGUUUUUCUUAAAUGUUAAAAGUGAGCCCGCAUUUACAACUUCAUCUGGCAGCUCAUUCCACAUUCCCACCACUCUCUCUGUAAAGAAGCCCCCCUCUAGUGUUCCCUUUAAACUUUUCCCCCUUUACCCUUAACCCAUGUCCUCUGGUAUUUUCUCCCCUAGCCUCAAUGGAAAAAGCCUGCUUGCAUUCACACUAUCUAUACCCAUCAUCAUUUUAUAUACCUCUAUUAAGUCUCCCCUCAUUCUUCUACGCUCCAAGAAAUAAAAUCCUAAACGAUUCAACCUUUCUCUGUAACUCAGUUUCUCAAGUCCUGGCAACAUCCUUGUAAACCUCCUCUGCACUCUUUCAACCUUAUUAAUAUCCUUCCUGUAAUUAGGUGACCAAAACUGCACACAAUACUCCAAAUUCGGCCUCACCAAUGGCUUAUACAACCUCACCAUAACAUUCGAUCUCUUAUACUCAAUACUUUGAUUUAUAAAGGCCAAUGUACCAAAAGCUCUCCUUACUACCCUAUCUACCUGUGACGCCACUUUUAGGGAAUUUUGUAUCUGUAUUUCUAGAUCCCUCUGUUCUACUGCACUCCUCAGUGCCCUACCUUGUAUGUUCCACCUUGGUUUUUCCUUCCAAAGUGCAAUACCUCACACUUGUCUGUAUUAAACCCCAUCUGCCAUUUUUCAGCCCAUUUUUGCAGCUGGUCCAGAUCCCUCUGCAAGCUUUGAAAACCUUCCUCGCUGUCCACUACACCUCCAACCUUUGUAUCAUCAAUAAAUUUGCUGAUCCAAUUUACCACAUUAUCAUCCAGAUCAUUGAUAUAGAUGACAAAUAACAAUGGACCCAGCACUGAUCCCUGUGGCAUACCACUAGUCACAGGCCUCCACUCAGAGAAGCAAUCCUCCACUACCACUCUCUGACUUCUCCCAUUGAGCCAAUAUCUAAUCCAAUUUACUACCUCAACGUGUAUACCUAGCGACUGAAUCUUCCUAACUAAUUGCCCAUGUGGGACCUUGUCAAAGGCCUUACUGAAGUCCAUGUAGACAACAUCCACUGCCUUCCCUUCAUUCACUUUCCUUGUAACCUCCUCGAAAAACUCUAAUCGAUUUGUUAAACAUGACCUACCACGCACAAAGCUGUGUUGACUCUCCCUAAUAAGUCCCUGUCUAUCUAAAUACUUGCAGAUCCUAUCUCUUAGUACUCCUUCCAAUAAUUUCCCUACUACCAAUGUCAAAUUUACUAGCCAAUAAUUUCACAGAUUACUUCUAGAGCCUUUUUUAAACAAUGGAACAACAUGAGCUAUCCUCCAGUCCUCCGGCACCUCACCCGUAGAUACCGACAUUUUAAAUAUAUCUGCCAGGGCCCCUUCAAUUUCAACACUAGUCUCCUUCAAGGUCUGAAGGAAUACCUUGUCAGGUCCUGGGGAUUUAUCUGCUCUGAUUUGCCUCAAGAUAGCAAGCACCUCCUCCUCUUCAAUCUGUAUAAGUUCCAUGACCUCACUACUUGUUUGCCUUAUUUCCAUUGACUCCAUGCAAGUUUCCUUAUUAAAUACAGACGCAAAAAAAGCCCAUUUAAGAUCUCCCCCAUUUCUUUUGGUUCCAUACAUAGUUGACAACUCUGAUCUUCAAGAGGACCAAUUUUAUCCCUUACUAUCCUUUUGCUCUUAAUAUACCUGUAGAGGCUCUUUGGAUUAUCCUUCACCUUGACUGCCAAAGCUACCUCAUGUCUUCUUUUAGCCCUCCUGAUUUCUUUCUUAAGUAUUUGUUUGCACUUUUUAUACUCCUCAAGUACCUUAUUUGCUCCCUGUCUCCUAUACAUGUCAUAUAUCUCUCUCUUCUUCUUUAUCAGAGUUCCAAUAUCCCUUGAAGACCAAGGUUCCUUAUUCUUAUUCACUUUGCCUUUAAUCCUGACAGGAACAUACAAACUCUGCACUCUCAGAAUUUCUCCUUUGAAGGCCUCCCACUUACCAAUGACGUCCUUGCCAGAGAACAACCUGUCUCAAUCCACGCUUUUUAGAUCCUUUCUCAUUUCUUCAAAUUUGGCCUUUAUCCAGUUUAGAACUUCAGCCCGAGGACCAGAUCUAUCUUUAUCCAUGAUCAAGUUGAAACUAAUGACGUUACGAUCACUGGAACCAAAGUGUUCCCCUACACACAUUUCCAUCACCCGUCCUAACUCAUUUCCUAAUAGGAGAUCUAAUAUUGCAUCCUUUCUAGUUGGUACCUCUACAUAUCGAUUUAGAAAACUUUCCUGGACACAUUUUACAAACUCUAACCCAUCUAGACCUUUAACAGUAUGGGAGUCCCAAUCAAUAUGUGGAAAUUUAAAAUCCCCUACUAUCACAACUUUAUGUUUCCUGCAGCUGUGUGCUAUCUCUCUGCAGAUUUGCUGCUCCAAUUCUCACUGACUAUUGGGUGGUCUAUAAUACAACCCCAUUAAUGUGGUCACACCUUUCCUGUUUCUCAGCUCCACCCAUAUGGCCUCAGCAGACAAGCCUUCUAAUCUGUCCUGUCGAAGCACUGCUGAAAUAUUUUCUCUGACUAGCAAUGCCACACCCUCCCCCCCACCCCACCC